CCUACGGGAGGCAGCAGUGAGGAAUAUUGGUCAAUGGACGAGAGUCUGAACCAGCCAAGUAGCGUGAAGGAUGACUGCCCUAUGGGUUGUAAACUUCUUUUAUAUGGGAAUAAAAUGUUCCACGUGUGGGAUUUUGUAUGUAACAUAUGAAUAAGGAGUGGCUAACUCCGUGCCAGCAGCCGCGGUAAUACGGAGGAUCCGAGCGUUAUCCGGAUUUAUUGGGUUUAAAGGGAGCGUAGGUGGAUUGUUAAGUCAGUUGUGAAAGUUUGCGGCUCAACCGUAAAAUUGCAGUUGAAACUGGCAGUCUUGAGUACAGUAGAGGUAGGCGGAAUUCGUGGUGUAGCGGUGAAAUGCUUAGAUAUCACGAAGAACUCCGAUUGCGAAGGCAGUUCACUGGACUGCAACUGACACUGAGGCUCGAAAGUGUGGGUAUCAAACAGGAUUAGAUACCCCAGUAGUC
rnacentral:rRNA from 1 species